CCCAUGCAUAAAGAUCGUGUCCACUCCUAUAUUCGGGGAACUUAUUUGCUUCAUUUGCAACUGCAAAUUAUUAUUAACUACAUAUUUUAGGAGCAGCUUUUCUCCCCAUUCAAAUUACAAGAGCAGGACCCUCCUCUACAGGGCCUUCCAAUCUAAAUACAGAGCCCAAAAAUAACCCCGAAAAGCCCUUCAAACAGAACUUUUCCUACUUGCAACGGCGUAAAUGAAGUGCCGCAUCAGGCAUGAGGAGGGUCGUCGGGAGGGAAGGGGGCGCGAGUAAGUAAGUUUUUCCCUUGAACAGCAGCCGGGAGUCAGAGUCAGAGCGAGAGUCAGGGCCAGAUCGAGCCAGAGGAGGAGCUCAAGCCCAGAGACCAACAAUAUAGUAAAAUAUCGUAACUGCCACGACCUAUGAGCUACCUGGUACUUGACAAAGAGAGCAUUAAUAUGCAGCGGAGGCUUUAAGAUUUAUUUUUAAAUUGUAAAUUUUAAAAUAAAUUGAAAAUGGAAUAUUUAUACGAUUUUGGUACUAAGAAGAGGGAAUAUUUACAC